CCACAACGAUGAUUCUAAGAACUCUCUCUUUCUGAAAUGACUGGAGAUAAUUUCACUUACUGAGUGGC